UGUUCUGUGGCUUAGGUGGUUAAAGCGCUGGACUAGUGAAACGGAGUCGUGGGUUCGACUUCCACAAAAACAA
rfam:Aedes albopictus isolate Foshan contig22305, whole genome shotgun sequence.